rnacentral:lncRNA from 1 species
GACGGCCGAGCCUCUGCCACACUCCCAAGUUUUGUCGACGAGCAGGACCCCGCCAGCGCCAACCGGAUUCUUCGCGACGUCCGGACUCCUACGGGAGCCAGAUCUCGUCUCCGACUCCAGCCACAGGAAGGCUUCACCCGGACUCCUACGGGAGCCGAGCUCCGCCCGCGACUUCACUUACAGGUAAACUCCGUCCGGACUCCUACGGG